rfam:Pseudomonas putida KT2440 complete genome.
CGCCAUGGUGGUCGUACGUGGGCAGACCUCGGUCUGGCCGGGCUUCCUUAUUCACUCGGUUUCUCACCCUGCGUACGGCUGCCGCCCCA